rnacentral:rRNA from 1 species
CUGACUCAGGAUGAACGCUGGCGGCGUGCCUAACACAUGCAAGUCGAGCGAUCUCUUCGGAGAGAGCGGCGGACGGGUGAGUAACGCGUGGGUAACCUGCCCUGUACACACGGAUAACAUACCGAAAGGUAUACUAAUACGGGAUAACAUAUGAAAGUCGCAUGGCUUUUGUAUCAAAGCUCCGGCGGUACAGGAUGGACCCGCGUCUGAUUAGCUAGUUGGUAAGGUAAUGGCUUACCAAGGCAACGAUCAGUAGCCGACCUGAGAGGGUGAUCGGCCACACUGGAACUGAGACACGGUCCAGACUCCUACGGGAGGCAGCAGUGGGGAAUAUUGCACAAUGGGCGAAAGCCUGAUGCAGCAACGCCGCGUGAGCUGAUGAAGGCCUUCGGGUCGUAAAGCUCUGUCCUCAAGGAAGAUAAUGACGGUACUUGAGGAGGAAGCCCCGGCUAACUACGUGCCAGCAGCCGCGGUAAUACGUAGGGGGCUAGCGUUAUCCGGAAUUACUGGGCGUAAAGGGUGCGUAGGUGGUUUUUUAAGUCAGAAGUGAAAGGCUACGGCUCAACCGUAGUAAGCUUUUGAAACUAGAGAACUUGAGUGCAGGAGAGGAGAGUAGAAUUCCUAGUGUAGCGGUGAAAUGCGUAGAUAUUAGGAGGAAUACCAGUAGCGAAGGCGGCUCUCUGGACUGUAACUGACACUGAGGCACGAAAGCGUGGGGAGCAAACAGGAUUAGAUACCCUGGUAGUCCACGCCGUAAACGAUGAGUACUAGGUGUCGGGGGUUACCCCCCUCGGUGCCGCAGCUAACGCAUUAAGUACUCCGCCUGGGAAGUACGCUCGCAAGAGUGAUACUCAAAGGAAUUGACG